rnacentral:rRNA from 1 species
GACGAACGCUGGCGGCGUGCUUAAUACAUGCAAGUCAACUGAAGCAGUGGUAGCAAUAUCGCUGUGGAGGUGGCGCACGGGUGAGUAACACGUAGGUAAUCUGCCUUCAGGUCUGGCAUAACUCCGGGAAACCGGGGCUAAUAGCAGAUGAUGCAGCGGCUCGACAUCGAGACAGUUGUUAAAGCUAUGGCGCCUGAAGAUGAGCCUGCGUCUGAUUAGCUAGUUGGCGGGGUAACGGCCCACCAAGGCAACGAUCAGUAGCUGGUCUGAGAGGAUGAUCAGCCACACUGGAACUGAGACACGGUCCAGACUCCUACGGGAGGCAGCAGUAAGGAAUAUUGCUCAAUGGGAGAAAUCCUGAAGCAGCAACGCCGCGUGAGGGACGAAGGGCUUUUGCUUGUAAACCUCUGUAGUGAGAGAAAAAAAUCCCAAUCUUUGGGACAUGAUGGUAUCUCAAAAGUAAGCCCCGGCUAACUACGUG